UGGCCUAGUUUUUUUUCUAGAUUUUUCUAGGCCACCAACUUCAAAUU
ensembl:ncRNA Y73B3A.26 ncRNA